GUGGGGAAUAUUGCGCAAUGGGGGAAACCCUGACGCAGCAACGCCGCGUGAAGGAUGAAGGUUUUCGGAUUGUAAACUUCUUUGAUGGGGGACGAAUAAAUGACGGUACCCCAAAAACAAGCCACGGCUAACUACGUGCCAGCAGCCGCGGUAAUACGUAGGUGGCGAGCGUUGUCCGGAAUUACUGGGUGUAAAGGGCGUGUAGGCGGGAUUGUAAGUCAGAUGUGAAAUUCCAGAGCUUAACUCUGGCGCUGCAUCUGAAACUGCGAUUCUUGAGUGCUGGAGAGGAUAGUGGAAUUCCUAGUGUAGCGGUGAAAUGCGUAGAUAUUAGGAGGAACACCAGUGGCGAAGGCGGCUAUCUGGACAGUAACUGACGCUGAGGCGCGAAAGCGUGGGGAGCAAACAGGAUUAGAUACCCGGGUAGUCC
rnacentral:rRNA from 1 species